UACGUAGGGACCAAGCGUUGUUCGGAUUUACUGGGCGUAAAGGGCGCGUAGGCGGCAAUUCAAGUCAUCUGUGAAAUCUCCGGGCUUAACUCGGAACGGUCAGAUGAUACUGCUUUGCUAGAGUGCGGAAGGGGCAAUCGGAAUUCUUGGUGUAGCGGUGAAAUGCGUAGAUAUCGGGAGGAACAUCCAUGGCGAAGGCAGCUACCUGGACCAACACUGACACUGAGGCACGAAAGCGUGGGGAGCAAACAGG
rnacentral:rRNA from 1 species